AGCAGCGGAGGAGCGGGCAGCACCCGACGACUUGUGAUCGUCGAGUCGCCCACGAAGGCGCGCAAGAUCGCCUCCUACCUCGGCUCC
rnacentral:tRNA from 1 species